UACGUAGGUGGCAAGCGUUGUCCGGAUUUACUGGGUGUAAAGGGGGCGCAGGCGGGAAGCUAAGUUGGAUGUGAAAUACCGGGGCUCAACUCCGGAGCUGCAUCCAAAACUGGUUUUCUUGAGUGGAGUAGAGGCAAGCGGAAUUCCGAGUGUAGCGGUGAAAUGCGUAGAUAUUCGGAGGAACACCAGUGGCGAAGGCGGCUUGCUGGGCUCUAACUGACGCUGAGGCCCGAAAGCGUGGGGAGCAAACAGGAUUAGAUACCCGCGUAGUCCCUGA
rnacentral:rRNA from 1 species